GACGAACGCUGGCGGCGUGCCUAACACAUGCAAGUCGAACGGGACCAGGGGCAACUCUGGUUCAGUGGCGGACGGGUGCGUAACACGUGAGGAACAUGACUUUGUGGGGAGUAGCCGGCCCGAACCGGCCGGGUAACGUACCGCGUACGACCUUUUGGGUACGAUCCCGACUUGGUUGAAAGACAGCAAUAGCGCCGAAACGAAGUGCCUCGCGG
rnacentral:rRNA from 1 species